UACGUAGGGACCGAGCGUUGUCCGGAAUCAUUGGGCGUAAAGAGCGUGUAGGCGGCCACUUAAGUCCUGCGUGAAAUCUUGCGGCUCAACCGCAAGCGGUCGUGGGAAACUGGGUGGCUAGAGUGCGGGAGAGGAGAGUGGAAUUCCUGGUGUAGCGGUGGAAUGCGCAGAUAUCAGGAAGAACACCCGUGGCGAAGGCGGCUCUCUGGAACGCAACUGACGCUGAGACGCGAAAGCGUGGGUAGCAAACAGG
rnacentral:rRNA from 1 species